rnacentral:rRNA from 1 species
GACGAACGCUGGCGGCGUGCUUAACACAUGCAAGUCGAACGAAGAGCGACGGAAGCUUGCUUCUAUCAAUCUUAGUGGCGAACGGGUGAGUAACGCGUAAUCAACCUGCCCUUCAGAGGGGGACAACAGUUGGAAACGACUGCUAAUACCGCAUACGAUCUAAUCUCGGCAUCGAGGAUGGAUGAAAGGUGGCCUCUACAUGUAAGCUAUCACUGAAGGAGGGGAUUGCGUCUGAUUAGCUAGUUGGAGGGGUAACGGCCCACCAAGGCGAUGAUCAGUAGCCGGUCUGAGAGGAUGAACGGCCACAUUGGGACUGAGACACGGCCCAGACUCCUACGGGAGGCAGCAGUGGGGAAUCUUCCGCAAUGGACGAAAGUCUGACGGAGCAACGCCGCGUGAGUGAUGACGGCCUUCGGGUUGUAAAGCUCUGUUAAUCGGGACGAAAGGCCUUCUUGCGAAUAGUGAGAAGGAUUGACGGUACCGGAAUAGAAAGCCACGGCUAACUACGUGCCAGCAGCCGCGGUAAUACGUAGGUGGCAAGCGUUGUCCGGAAUUAUUGGGCGUAAAGCGCGCGCAGGCGGAUAGGUCAGUCUGUCUUAAAAGUUCGGGGCUUAACCCCGUGAU